UGGUUGGAUGAGAAGCAAAUUUUGUUUUUACUUAUUCAAUUUGCGACUAUAUCCAGGCCAUU
rnacentral:pre_miRNA from 1 species